CAGAUUAAGCCAUGCAUGUCUAAGUAUAAGCUUUUGUACGGUGAAACUGCGAAUGGCUCAUUAAAACAGUUAUAGUUUAUUUGAUGGUCUCUUUUACAUGGAUAACCAUGGUAAUUCUAUGGCUAAUACAUGCGCACAGGCCUCCUUCUUUGGAGGGGCCGUGUUUAUUAGAUACAAAACCAACCCACUUUGUGGAGCCUUGGUGAUUCAUAGUAACCGAACGGAUCGCAUUUGGCUUUAGCCGGCGAUAGAUCAUUCAAGUUUCUGACCUAUCAGCUUUCGACGGUAGGGUAUUGGCCUACCGUGGCAUUGACGGGUAACGGGGAAUUAGGGUUCGAUUCCGGAGAGGGAGCCUGAGAAACGGCUACCACAUCUAAGGAAGGCAGCAGGCGCGCAAAUUACCCAAUGAAAACAGUUUCGAGGUAGUGACGAGAAAUAACAAUACAGGGCAUUUAAUGCUUUGUAAUUGGAAUGAUAGGAAUUUAAAAUCCUUCCAGAGUAACAAUUGGAGGGCAAGUCUGGUGCCAGCAGCCGCGGUAAUUCCAGCUCCAAUAGUGUAUAUUAGAGUUGUUGCAGUUAAAAAGCUCGUAGUUGGAUUUCUGUCGUGGUCAUCCGGCCUUGCCCGUAGGGUGUGCGCCUGGGUUGCCCGCGGCUUUCUUCG
rnacentral:rRNA from 1 species